GACGAACGCUGGCGGCGUGCUUAACACAUGCAAGUCGAGCGGUCCGGCAUUUAACAUUGAGUAUUCAGAGCUGAGUUGGCGAUUGAGCUGGCGUCAAGCAAAAACUUCCUUAAUAAUAUAAAUUAAAGUUUUUGCUUCACGCGCUAAAAGUGCCAACACAUGCGAAUCUGAGUAUUGAAUGUUAAAUGUCGGAUAGCGGCGGACGGGUGAGUAACGCGUGGGCAACCUGCCUCAUACAGGGGGAUAACACUGGGAAACUAGUGCUAAUACCGCAUAACAUAGAGAAGUGGCAUCACUUCACUAUCAAAGGAGCAAUCCGGUAUGAGAUGGGCCCGCGUCCGAUUAGCUAGUUGGUGAGGUAACGGCUCACCAAGGCGACGAUCGGUAGCCGAACUGAGAGGUUGAUCGGCCACAUUGGGACUGAGACACGGCCCAGACUCCUACGGGAGCAGCAGUGGGGAAUAUUGCGCAAGUGGGGAAA
rnacentral:rRNA from 1 species